GAGAUCGGGCGUUCCCCUCGGGGGACAGGGUGACAGGUGGUGCAUGGUUGUCGUCAGCUCGUGUCGUGAGAUGUUGGGUUAAGUCCCGCAACGAGCGCAACCCUCGACCUUAGUUGCCAGCAUUCAGUUGGGCACUCUAAGGUGACUGCCGGCUAAAAGUCGGAGGAAGGUGGGGAUGACGUCAAAUCAUCAUGCCCCUUAUGACCUGGGCUACACACGUGCUACAAUGGGCGGUACAAAGGGUCGCGAACCCGCGAGGGGGAGCCAAUCCCAAAAAGCCGCUCUCAGUUCGGAUUGCAGGCUGCAACUCGCCUGCAUGAAGCCGGAAUCGCUAGUAAUCGCGGAUCAGCAUGCCGCGGUGAAUACGUUCCCGGGCCUU
rnacentral:rRNA from 1 species